rnacentral:lncRNA from 1 species
AGAUGCGGGGCUGUGGGUGGACGAAGUGCGCAUGAAGGGGCCUGCUGGCGAUGAAGGCGGGUGUGUUGCAGCACGCCGCAUAUGUUACCUGCUGGCUGGUUGGCUGGUUAACUUUGGCAGGUUCAGCAACGACAGAGCUUACGUUCAAAUGACGCGCCGCAUGCGGCCUGGAGGGGGCUGGGCGGUAUCGCUACAUGCCGCGGGGAGACGGGGCCGCCCAGUAGGUGCCGCCCUGCAGCGAUGGAGGGAUGUGGUGUGAACGGUUCGUCCCCGAUUCGUAAAAUCUGCUUCCCAACAAUUUGCUGAGACGCCAAUGCCAAUGCCAAUGUCAAUGCCCAUGUCAAUGCCAAUACCAAUGCCAAUCCAUGCAGAUGUGGCUGAUUUCCGUGGCGGCGUUCGUGUCCUUCGAACGGCUGUUCCGGAACUCCGCGGUUGGAGAUUUACCGCCGCAGUCGCAUAACUUGGUACGAAUUUACCCGCCUUUUUGGUUUUGUUUCAAUUGCUGUUAUUUACUAGUGUUUGUUUCUGCGUUCCUUGCUUGGGUGCUUAUUCCACUUUUUGCUAAGUACC